UACGUAGGGUGCAAGCGUUGUCCGGAAUUAUUGGGCGUAAAGAGCUCGUAGGCGGUCUGUCGCGUCGGCUGUGAAACCCUGAGGCUCAACCUCAGGCCUGCAGUCGAUACGGGCAGACUAGAGUGCGGUAGGGGAGACUGGAAUUCCUGGUGUAGCGGUGAAAUGCGCAGAUAUCAGGAGGAACACCGAUGGCGAAGGCAGGUCUCUGGGCAUUAACUGACGCUGAGGAGCGAAAGCAUGGGGAGCGAACAGG
rnacentral:rRNA from 1 species